CUGCCUGACAGUACUUCUGAAAUGUUUUCCAUGUGGCCAAACCGUCCCUGCUGCUCUCCGGAUCAAUCAGCUGAUCGUCCACAGCAGCUUUACAGAGAACAAACUGGUCAUUAUUGAUCCAUGUCCAGUAUAAACUGCUGCACUUCCUACACUUCCUGUUUGGUGCUCUGAUAAUGUUUGGACAAAAACAAAACAGUGUCGUGCAAUGAGGUUUGCUCGCUUGUCUUGACACUUUUGCAGCUUCAGCCGAUGUAACGCUGUGAGGUGAUCUCAGGGCGCGUAUCUUUAGCGCAACUGAGAGAGCAGAGAGCUGCUUCUGAAACGCGCUGCGUUAAAUAAGAAAAUAACACUAAAUCUCUGCCUGGAGGCAGGUGAAACGACAGGCAGCAGCCCCAGUUUGAACUAAUAUCACAGAAAGCUACAGGAGUCGAGAGAAGAAGCUCCGUGUGUCACCGACUGUCCGUGCAUGAGUUCCCCGCCAGAGAGGCUUCCCGCCCCGGCUGCACCGCGGGCUGAUCACAUGUGAGACCCUGAAUCUCUGGAUGACGCAGCAGCAGCCGUGCGUGAGACGCGUCGUGCGGCUGCUCGAAUCUGUUAACUUGAGGUUCCACGACGGACACGUGCUGCUCGUGUUACACUGUCCUCUCCAUAUAAAAGCAGCCGUAGAGGAGAAAACUUCACUUUCAGAACUCAGACAUGACCUCAGAAUAUCGUCUAUACCAGAUUGCACCAGAUCAUCGUCACGCUGCAUUUGGACGCUACGACGAAGAGCUGCAGCUGGAACCACUGACUCUAACAAUGAACACAAAUAUUCUUGAUUUUAAUUGGAAAGUAUUGAUUAUUCAUUCUAGUUGUGACUGUGUGUGAUGAGCUAUUGUGUGUAACCUCGUAAUAUUCAUCCUGUAUUAUUUUAUAUCCUUUGUUUUAUGUUUAUUCUCUAUUAUAGUACUGAGCUGUAAUAUGUUUUAAUGUGGAUUGCAUAAGAUAACUCUGCUACAGUGCAUCAAAUGGUAAUAUUUAUGUUUAACACUGUACACGGUCCUUUUAAAAUAAAAUAAAGAGAAAACAAUGAAACAUGUAGCAGCUCAUCCAUCAUCAUCCACCAGCAGCACGGCUCAGUGCGACUACACCAGACACACAAUCACAUCGAUGAGAUGGGGUUAGGGUUAGAUGUUUGUGGAGGU